rnacentral:lncRNA from 1 species
AUAAUCUAAGCCAUCCGGACAAACCUGAGCAACGUAGCCCUAGUCUACGCUCCUGUGUCUCUUCAACUAUCUUCUCCACGUGAUGGCAUCUCUGCAGUCAUGCUGCUCCAUUACAUUACAUCAUGGGCUUGAACAGCUGCCUGAGGUACUGCUUCCUCUGGUGCGCAGGCUUCUCUUCUGGACACUUCAUCCUUACCCAUCCUCUGCUCCAGGAUGAGCCUGAAGGGAUUGUAGCAUCUCCUGGGAUGAGUCCAGGCUGGUGUGAUGGUGUUGGCUGUCUGUGAAUCUGCCCUA